rnacentral:ncRNA from 1 species
UGAUAGGGGUUGAUGUGUUAAUAAUCACCUAACCUAGACCUUGAAUCUACACCCCCUAACCUUCUAAAUCGUCGACCCAUAACCCAUAAUCCUUCCCAUAAUCCUUAGAAAUUCGACCAAGCGCGGGUAAACAACGAGAGUAACUAUGACUAUCUUAAGGUAGCCAUAUGCCUCGUCAUCUAAUUAGUGACGCACAUGAAUGGAUCAUUAACGAGAUUCCCCACUAUCCCUAGCUACUAUAUUCUAGAGAAACCACAUCCAAGGGAUUGGGCUUGG